rnacentral:rRNA from 1 species
CCUACGGGAGGCAGCAGUGAGGAAUAUUGGUCAAUGGGGGGAACCCUGAUGCAGCGACGCCGCGUGGGGGAAGAAGCGCCUCGGCGCGUAAAGCCCUGUCAGCAGGGAAGAAAAUGACGGUACCUGAAGAAGAAGCCCCGGCUAACUACGUGCCAGCAGCCGCGGUAAUACGGAGGAUGCGAGCGUUAUCCGGAUUUAUUGGGUUUAAAGGGUGCGCAGGCGGAUUUUUAGGUCAGCGGUAAAAUCGUGGGGCUAAACCCCAUCCAGCCGUUGAAACUGGGGAUCUAGAGUGUGCGAGAGGUAUGCGGAAUGCGUGGUGUAGCGGUGAAAUGCAUAGAUAUCACGAAGAACCCCGAUUGCGAAGGCAGCAUACCGGUGUACAACUGACGCUCAGGCACGAAAGCGUGGGUAUCGAACAGGAUUAGAUACCCUUGUAGUC